rnacentral:tRNA from 3 species
GCCGAUGUGGUGGAAUUGGUAGACACGCUAUCUUGAGGGGGUAGUGGCGUAAGCUGUGCCGGUUCAAAUCCGGCCAUCGGCACCA